AAACGACUCUCGGCAACGGAUAUCCCGGCUCUCGCAUCGAUGAAGAACGUAGCCUAAUGCGAUACUUGGUGUGAAUUGCAGAAUCCCGUGAACCAUUGAGUCUUUGAACGCAAGUUGCGCCCGAAGCCACUAGGCUGAGGGCACGUCUGCCUGGGUGUCACGC
rnacentral:rRNA from 1 species